rnacentral:rRNA from 1 species
AUGGCGAUUCUCAUGGCCGUCGAUCAGUGGCGUCCUUACCUGCACACAGACGAGUUCAUCAUCCUUACUAAUCAACUUAGCCUGAUCCACCUCGAUGACCAGCACCUGUCGACACCCUGGCAACAAAAAGCAUUCACAAAGUUGUUGGGUAUGAGAUACACGAUCUGCUACAGAACCGGAGCCUCCAACACGCUGCUGACGCACUCUCUCGGCGCACUCUAG